AACGAACGCUGGCGGCAGGCCUAACACAUGCAAGUCGAACGGAUCCUUCGGGAUUAGUGGCGCACGGGUGAGUAACACGUGGGAACGUGCCCUUGGGUACGGAAAAACAGUUGGAAACGACUGCUAAUACCGUAUAAUAUCGAGAGAUCAAAGAUUUAUCGCCCAAGGAUCGGCCCGCGGAAGAUUAGGUAGUUGGUGGGGUGAAAGCCUACCAAGCCUACGAUCUAUAGCUGGUCUUAGAGGAUGAUCAGCCACACUGGAACUGAGACACGGUCCAGACUCCUACGGGAGGCAGCAGUGAGGAAUAUUGGACAAUGGGCGAAAGCCUGAUCCAGCCAUGCCGCGUGAAUGAUGAAGGCCUUAGGGUUGUAAAGUUCUUUUAGCUGUGACGAUAAUGACGGUAGCAGCAGAAAAAGCCCCGGCUAACUCCGUGCCAGCCGCCGCGGUAA
rnacentral:rRNA from 1 species